rnacentral:rRNA from 1 species
GGGGGGGGGGGGGGGGGGGGGUGAGACGGGCGGGGCGGGCGGAGGGGUGGGGAGCUUGCUGCGCGGGCGUGAGCGGCGGGCGGGUGAGUAACACGGGGAUCACCUACCUAUAAGACUGGGAUAACUUCGGGAAACCGGAGCUAAUACCGGAUACUAUCUUGAACCGCAUGGUUCAAUAGUGACAGACGGUUUUGCUGUCACUUAUAGCUGGGUCCGCGCCGUAUUAGCUAGUUGGUAAGGUAACGGCUUACCAAGGCGACGAUGCGUAUCCGACCUGAGAGGGUGAUCGGACACACUGGAACUGAGACACGGUCCAGACUCCUACGGGAGGCAGCAGUAGGGAAUCUUCCGCAAUGGGCGAAAGCUUGACGGAGCAACGCCGCGUGAGUGAUGAAGGUCUUCGGAUCGUAAAACUCUGUUAUUAGGGAAGAACAAAUGUGUAAGUAACUAUGCACGUCUUGACGGUACCUAAUCAGAAAGCCACGGCUAACUACGUG